UGGGUAGAGCAAUGAAAAGCAAAUUUAGCAAGUAUUGGGAUGGGAACUAUAAUAUGACCCUUGUUAUUGCAACGGUACUUGAUCCAAGAAAGAAGAUGGACUUCUUGGAAUUCUUUUAUCAGAGGGUGUGCAACUACUUUGUUGAUAUUGAGACAAGCAUGACUUCAGCUAGAGAAUGGAUGACUAAGUAUUUUAGGAAAUAUGAAGAGAUUGUUAGGACAAAUGGUGUAGAUCUAGUAUAUACUACUGUAUCUAGAGGCAUUAUGGGUUCACCUGUGCUAGCUAAAAGAAGAAUGCACCAAGAGUUUGCCCACUUUAGAAAUCAAAAGAGAGCUAGCAAUACUCAAAAAUCGGAACUUGAUGCAUAUCUGGAAGAUGAACAUGUGAGAGAUGAUAAAAACUUUGAGAUCUUGAGUUGGUGGAAGACAAAUAAAGACAAGUAUCCUGUCCUAUCAACCAUGGCACGAGACUUCCUUGCAAUUCCAUUGAGCACUGUGUCUUCUGAGUCCGCAUUUAGUUUGAGUGGUCGGAUUCUUAGUGAUAAUCGGAGUUCAAUGACACCUGAAACCCUUGAAGCCCUUGUUUGUGUUAAGGAUUGGUUGUAUAAGCUCCCAGGCAAUGAAGACUGCUCUCAGAUUGUGGUUGACUAGCACAGGAUAUGGAGUACACCCCUUACGCAGCAAGUUCCUCUGUAUCCCACAUCUCGCUGCUCAAGGAAGUUCUUGGCUGGAGGUUUUGUAUUAAUCAUGUUUUGCCGUGUCGAUAGCAGUAUGUUGGAAGGUUAUUGCGGAUUAGGAUGUAAUGUUCAGCUCCAAGUCCGUUUGAUUGACGAUGCUCUGAAUUCAGUACAUCUAGAUCCUGAAUAAUUUGAUUCAAGACAUGGUGGGACUCAUGGACUCAUGGUCAUGGCACAAUCUAAGAUGUAAACGAUGGCCAACGAUGUAAACUGGACGAUGACAUGGAUGGUCAGUAUGCUUGCGUGGUAGACUGCCAAGAGAGGCUAGGAACUUUUUUUUUUGCAUUACCAUUACUCACUACUUUGAAGGAUCUACUGACAACGGAAGAUGUUUUGCACAGCGUGGCCCCAAACUCUGCCUUCUCGCUUUAUAUGAACAUAAAUUUGUAA